CCUACGGGGGGCAGCAGUGAGGAAUAUUGGUCAAUGGACGAGAGUCUGAACCAGCCAAGUAGCGUGAAGGAUGACUGCCCUAUGGGUUGUAAACUUCUUUUAUAAAGGAAUAAAACGAGGCACGUGUGCCUUUUUGCAUGUACUUUAUGAAUAAGGAUCGGCUAACUCCGUGCCAGCAGCCGCGGUAAUACGGAGGAUCCGAGCGUUAUCCGGAUUUAUUGGGUUUAAAGGGAGCGUAGAUGGGUUGUUAAGUCAGUUGUGAAAGUUUGCGGCUCAACCGUAAAAUUGCAAUUGAUACUGGCAGUCUUGAGUACAGUUGAGGUAGGCGGAAUUCGUGGUGUAGCGGUGAAAUGCGUAGAUAUCGCGAAGAACCCCGGUUGCGAAGGCAGCUUACUAAGCUGUGACUAACGUUGAUGCACGAAAGUGUGGGUAGCAAACAGGAUUAGAUACCCUAGUAGUC
rnacentral:rRNA from 1 species